CACUUAUCUAUUUCCCAAGACCAAAGAAGACAUUGGACCUUUGUCAAACUCCAACACCUGUUGGGAGAACCUAAGGAAGUUGUUAAGCAAGUGACUGGAGCCCAAUUCCUGCUGCCGCCAAGGAGUCAGGCCUGCUGGCCCUCUCCCCUUUGCCUCUCCUCUUUUACUAUUACAAAGCUGGCCCUUCAAAGCACAGUGCUCUCUGCAAUACAGAAGCCCUCGCUAUCUCUACAGUGGAGAAAAUGUGCGCCACGGGAAAAGGUCAUAGCAUAGAACAAUCUGAAGAGCACUGGUCUGCAUCCCACUUAGAAACCUCCAACUCCAAAUGUCAAUUUUCCUCCUGAGACAGCAUUUCUGGGCUGCUGCCUCCCGCUCCAGAGAGAUGUGCUUCUGGGAAAGUCAACUACACUGUGCAAGAGGUCUGUGAAAUGUGUCGGCACUUCCAUAAAAUAGAUGUAACUGAGGAUCUUCAGUCGGGCCCUCUUCUCCUGCUUAUUCCUUGGCAAAGAAUUUCUAAGAUCCUCCUCUAGCACCCUGGGCACUCAGGAAGUAAAAGCCACCUUUUUCUAGCCACUAGGGAAGAACAAGGGCUGGUGUUUCCCAGUCUGUCCGGAGAGUGACUCUUUACCCAACACAUGGAAGCUACCUGGAUGCUGAGUGAAGAUAAAUAGUGCCGUCUCCUUGGGUCGUUUAAUUCCAAGCAAGGCCCAUAUUGAUUUUGCCUCUCCCUGUACUAACCUGUUCGGUGAUGUACAGCUGAGGACCAUCUGCAUAACGGAGGGUAUAAUACUCUGGGUUUGGCAACGACCACCUAUGCAAGAGAAAAACAGUAUAUCCCACUUGGCCACUCUCUUGUUCAGAAGCUGCUCAUAAGUAAUUUUCAAAAGAGUUGCUCAAGGGAUUGGGUGGCCUAUUUGGAAUACAGUGGAAACAAAGCUUUAGGUUGUCAUGUUGAAAAAAUCAUGGCCUCAGCCUUUUGUAAAGAUGAGCACCACAAUAGGAGGUGUGCAGAACUGAGGAGGGGUCUCAGAUCCUACCUCAAUAGGGCAAUGCUAGACUUUAAGGAAAAAAUUAAGAAGUAUAAACGUCUUAGGGGUAUGGUUGUCAACUGUACUUCCUUCCCAAGACAAUGAUUCCCAAGACCCCCAUGCUGAGGACCUGCCUAACUGGAGAUCCUUCCCAGAACUCCCCUCAAGGUGUAGGAGUGCUCUUUCAGUCGGAGCUGCCACUGUUGAAAACGAGGUCCAUUUCAACCUACCCAUCACAAACUUCCUUGAUAAUGGAUGCCAGGGGCCGUUUCUGAAAGAGAGAGAGAGAAAGCCUUCAACAGCAGCAACAUCCUACUCAUGCCAAGGUUCUGACAAGAGGCCUGCCAAGCAGGGUCAAGCUGGGGCAUGAGAAUGAACUUCUUUCCUAACAGCUUUUGUUGAAGAGGAAGCCUCUCCCAAGCCAUGGUGACCGACCUUCCCUAGGGUGGGCCAGGCCCAAAGCUUAGCCUUCCUGUUGCUCGUUCUUACUCUUGAUGCCGGUGGUCCCCAUCCCUCAAGAUGUCCUCUGCCAUGCACUCCCCAGGUGCCUUUCCUUGAACCACUGCUUCUCACUUCAGGAGCAUACCUGGUCGAUUUCAAGGAGCUGGGCGUUAGCACCUGGCCACUCAAUGGCCACUUUGACAAUGUCUGACGGUGGUGGCAUCGUUCCCAAUGGGCUCUAAUUCUGCGAGACAAAAACACAGACACGGCUGCCUGGGGAGAAAGAAUCAGAAAGGUGGAAAAAGAGUAUUUCUUCAUUUUUCACUCUUGUUACAUGUUUUGAAGAGUUUGAAGACAGACACUGCAUAAAGUAACACAUGAAACUACCUGGUUUGAAUUUUUCUAGAUCAUACCACAACUUCUGCUUAGGAUUUUGUCUCUUGAGAUUAAAUCAGCAAGAAGAAAUGGGACAAACUAUCUAUCAUCCAUAGAUCAGCCAGUAGCAAGAUAUGCCAAUGUGGCACUUCAGUUUAAGAGUCAAGAAGACUCAGUGGUAGAGGAAUGUAUUUACUGCAAAUUCCUGUCUUGAGACCUUGGGAGGAGAGAAGCAUAUGCUCCGAGACAGAUAAGAAUAGACAGCCUUUUCUUGGUUGAGUGGUUAGCUGGAGGAGCCAGGCUACUUCUUUCUGCAGUCAUCCUAGGAAGAUCCCAGCAUCAGCAGGGCCCAGCUACAUGCUCUCUUGCUUCCUCCCCACUCAUCGAUGCCACCCCUUUCCCCUCAAAGGACACAAUGCAAAGCCUCCUCUGUGUGGGACGACAUCAGAAAAUGGGGAAGAUAACUGGGACAGGAAAUGCUAUUUUCGUCCCUACUGCCAAGGGCAAGGGCGGCUGACAACUCAAGUGGAGAGAGGUAAGGAUAUCCUCACACAAGGGCCCCUCUUAUAAGGACAAGGCUUUGCAAGUACCUCUGACCCCCUCCCCCACUUCUCUCCAAAAUAAAGGAAAAUAAAUCAUCCUGAGCAAGUCUGGAAGAUGGGCCCAUGUGACUGGUAUCCUAGGCAACUCUGAUAGCUUACUGGUAUUCCAAGCAGUAACUAAAGCAUUCUCUCUCCAAGGUCUGACGAAGGGAAGUCACUUGGCUGAUGGAUUAUUUCAAUGUAUAUUUACACUCCUUGCCUACAAGUUCAGGAGAGGCCCCUCUCUUAAUGAAAAAGACCUUUCUGCAUCCUCCAGGUUUAGCCAUUCACCCACAAUUCAUGCCUCGCUAAUGGGGACCACCUGCCUCUCCUGGCGUACAAAGCAUAGCUGUCGCGAGGCUAUUAUGCAUGUAUGCUAUCAAUUUUUCAGCCCAAACACAGAUGUCAGUUCUCACAGCCUGGUAAGUAUAAACCUCUUAGAUGAAAAGGAGUAAAAGUCCUGUCCCCCACAAGCCCAUCGGCCUCAGAAAGAGGGAUGCUUUCAUGACCAUUUCCUAGUCAGAAUGGGAUGCUUCAGAAGUCUACUGUCAUAAAAAGCCAGCAUUUCCAGAACAUGACAAUGUAAAGGAACUAGUUUUCCAAGUGCUUUCACUUAUUUUAUUGUGUCCUCCCAGCAGCCCCACGAAUUAGGCAGAACAGGAUUAUCACCUCCAUUUGAAGAUGGCACAACUAAAGCUCAGUGUUUUGUUAAGUGCCCAAGGUCACCCAGCUAGUAAGUCAUAACGGUUGACAGAACUUGGACUGGCUUCGGCCAAUGCUUUCCCCUUUUCCUUUGAGCCAGCCUCAACUUCUGUCCACUGCAAUUAAACGCAGCCUAAAGGGAUUGAAGUGGGUUGGCCUUAUGGCCCCCAAGGCUUCCAUAACUUCUGCAGCUCAUGGCAGAAUUUUUCACAUGUAAUUUUUAUGUGCCUAGACACACGACAAACCUCAGAAAAGAAACUGGCCCUAUCUGCAUAAUUUCUGGGGAAAAUGCUCUGCUCCAGUUACAGCAAGACAGGGAGUUCUUGUUCUAGGGGUGGCGCCAUCAAUCUCUGGAUGCUUAGAGAUGCAUCCUUAUCCUUAUCGGCAAAGCUGCUGCAAUUAGUAGACAGGACUGCACGGUUGUGAGGUCAAUUUUAAAAACUGAGAUAUAAUUUACAUACAAUAAAAUGCAGAGGGCUUAAGGGUACAUAUGUUUGUAUAUAUAAAUAUACAUCAUAUAAAUAUACACAUGCAUCUCCCUGUAACCAGCACUCAAAACGAGACACUGAACAUUUUCAUCACCCUAGAAAAUUACUUCAUACUUCCUCUUCCCGUCAAUCCUUCCAGUCCUUUAAAGGGGAAUUUCUGACUUAUCAUCAUCCAUGAGUUUUGCCUGGUUUUGUACUUCAUAUAAAUGGAACUAUACGAUAUGACUUUUUAGAUCAUUUGUUUAGUUUGGCUUCUUCUUAUUUUUAAAAUAAGCAGGCACAGAAGGUACAACAGAAAGAACACUGGGCUGGGAUAAUUGUCCCUGCUGAAACAAGUGACUGGAUUUAGAACCAAAGGCCUCAGGACCCAAUCCUAGGUCUUUCACAAUGUAUACAUGGCCCUUUAACCAAAUCUCAGUUUUCUUCUAUUGAAAGAUGUGAGUGUAGAACUAAAGCAUGUCUCAGGUGCCUUCUAAGUCUAAAAGUCCAUGAUUCUUAAGUGGAAUUUAAAAAAUCCAAGUGAGGAUGCCCAUUUUAAAGUCCUUACCAAAUGAAGUUACACCCUUCCUUAAUUUCGAUGGUGCUGCUAAGAAACAAACCCCAUGAUUUUUAACUCCUUUCUGAACGCCGUCUUUGGAGAUUAAGCUAAAGCUCAUUAGGUUAUAGCUAUUAUUUUCUCUUGACCCCAUAUGACAUAUCCUAGAUUGACUCUCUCUUUAUUAAAGUUAGCCCUGAAUGAUUCUCGGCUGUUCAAAAAUUCGUAUACAUUUUAAAGCAUGGAGAUUUGCAACCACCAAACUAUUUGAAAGAUAUUAAUAAGCCCCCAUUCUCAGUGACUCUGUCCUUCCCACAAAGCCCAGGCAGCCUCUCUGAACUGAAUGACACUCUCCACAACCCUGCCAUAGCUGAUGGGACUAAAGUGAAUACCCAACUUUAGCUGAACUAUUCCAGUUCUUUCUCUUGAAUUUAAAAGACAGAGACUGGCUGGGCGUGGUGGCUCAUGUCUAUAAUCGCAGCACUUUGGGAGGCCAAGGUGGGUGGAUCGCCUGAGGUCAGGAGUUUGAGACCACCCUGGCCAACAUGGCAAAACCCCGUCUCUAGUAAAAAUACAAAAAGUAGCCAGGCAUGAUGGUGGGCGCCUGUAAUCCCAACUACUCGGGAGACUGAGGCAGGGAGGACAGCUUGAACCCAGGAGGCGGAGGUUUCAGUGAGCACAGAUUGCACCAUUACGCUCCAGCCUGGGCGACGGAAUGAGACUCCAUCAUAAAUAAAUACACACAUACAUACAUACAAACAAAUAAAAGACACAGACUAAGGGAACUGGGUGAUAAUGACCCUGGAGAAGUAAGAUCAUAGUAAGCUUCAGAGCGAAUACCAUGGCAAGCCAAAGAUCCGUACGAGCCAAAGAUAUGGAGAAUAAAAAACCAAGAGCCUUUCAGAGGAAGUGAUUCUGCAGGAGGAAUCCAUAAAUAUCUAAAUGAACUGAGGCCAGAAAUCAGAAAGAGAUGGAAAAGCCAUUACCUGCUAACUUUCCAGAUUAUGUGGCUAUUACUUCCUAUGCUCGGGGUACCUGAAAGUCCACUGUAUCCUGCCAAUAAAACUCCUAUAAAUUAAGCUAGUCUAUGUUUCUACUCAUUGCAACUAAUACGCCUAAGACCACAGCUGCCCCCAAGCUCUGCAGGAACUCUAAAACGGAGGUCUGAGCAGACAGCAGCAUCACUAGCAUAUG
rnacentral:lncRNA from 1 species